GUGGGGAAUAUUGGUCAAUGGACGGAAGUCUGAACCAGCCAUGCCGCGUGGAGGAAGAAGGUCCUAUGGGUUGUAAACUCCUUUUGUUCGAGAGUAAUAAGAGGCUUGCGAGCCUCGAUGAGAGUAUCGGACGAAUAAGCAUCGGCUAACUCCGUGCCAGCAGCCGCGGUAAUACGGAGGAUGCAAGCGUUAUCCGGAUUUAUUGGGUUUAAAGGGUGCGCAGGCGGGCUGUUAAGUCAGCGGUGAAAUGUCCCGGCUCAACCGGGGCACUGCCGUUGAUACUGGCAGCCUAGAGUACAGACGGCGCCGGCGGAAUGUGUCAUGUAGCGGUGAAAUGCUUAGAUAUGCCACAGAACACCGAUCGCGAAGGCAGCUGGCGAGGCUGGGACUGACGCUCAGGCACGAAAGCGUGGGGAUCAAACAGG
rnacentral:rRNA from 1 species